rnacentral:rRNA from 1 species
CCCUUAGAUGUUCUGGGCCGCACGCGCGCUACACUGACGAUGGCAACGAGUUUUUCCUUCGCCAAAAGGUGUGGGUAAUCUUUUGAAACAUCGUCGUGCUGGGGAUAGAUCAUUGCAAUUUUUGAUCUUGAACGAGGAAUUCCUAGUAAGCGCGAGUCAUCAGCUCGCGUUGAUUACGUCCCUGCCCUUUGUACACACCGCCCGUCGCUACUACCGAUUGAAUGGUUUAGUGAGGACUCCUGAUUGGCGCCGCCGCCCCGGCAACGGAGCAGCGGACUGCCGAAAAGUUGUUCAAACUUGAUCAUUUAGAGGAAGUAAAAGUCGUAACA